GACAGAGGUCCCGAGCGUUGUUCGGAUUCAUUGGGCGUAAAGGGUGUGUAGGAGGUCGGGUAAGUCAGGUGUGAAAUCUCAGAGCUUAACUCUGAAACUGCGCUUGAUACUGCUCGGCUAGAGGAGUCGGAGGGGGUAACGGAAUUUAUGGUGUAGCAGUGAAAUGCGUAGAUAUCAUAAGGAACACCGGUGGCGAAGGCGGUUACCUGGAAGAUUCCUGACUCUGAAACACGAAAGCCAGGGGAGCAAACGGG
rnacentral:rRNA from 1 species